ACUCCUACGGGAGGCAGCAGUGGGAAUAUUGGACAAUGGGCGCAAGCCUGAUCCAGCCAUGCCGCGUGAGUGAUGAAGGCCUUAGGGUUGUAAAGCUCUUUUGUCCGGGAAGAUAAUGACUGUACCGGAAGAAUAAGCCCCGGCUAACUUCGUGCCAGCAGCCGCGGUAAUACGAAGGGGCGUAGCGUUGUUCGGAAUCACUGGGCGUAAAGCGCACGUAGGC
rnacentral:rRNA from 1 species